CCCAGAUCUGACUCUAUGCAAAGCGCCCCACGACGCGCGUGCAGCUGAGCACAUGGAGGAGAGAGGACGUACACUUAGCAGCCUGGCUAAUGUAGCCCGUGGGGCGCAAAAUAUUGGCAAAUGAAGAACAUUUCAGAUCUGAAAAAGUGGACUGACUUGCCUUAGGCUUCCUACAUGAAUCCAGUCCUAGUAUCAGUCACCCUGCCAGUGAGGAAUACGGUAAAGAGGCCAUCCUGUGAGAUAAGAGACCUACACCGGACAGCAUGACCUUCAGAGGACUGGACUGAACUUGGACUGUGUUUAGGCAGCAUGAAGUAGAGAACAACCUCAUGCUGAAGCCAUGAGUCACUGCCAUCAACCUCAUUUAAACCAUAGCGCUGAUGUCACUGGAUAUGUUAAAUAGGGCAGCAGGCCAGGCACACGUGUACCUCUCUGAAGAAGGCCAGUUCAGUGGAAACUAGCGAGCAAACACACUGAAAAGGACACACGCUCCGUCAAUGUCAGCAAAUAUUUGGUCACAACUUUGAAGUGACAGUCGUUUGAAACAAGGAUGACGUUGUCUCUAUUAAAGCAGGUGAAUGUGCAAGUUUGCUGUUUAAAAUCAAUGUGAUUGAUUCAUUGCCAUUUAUUCUGAGCUUUUUACUAAUAAUGAUGUACAAGUCUUAGCUUUCGUAAGACCAACAUGGCAAGGUAUUUUUAGAAGCAGGCUGUGAUGUAACGUGACAACCUGCUGCUGUCACCUGCAAGACCAGCUGUGCUGAUGGCUCAGAGAAAUGGACUAAUGAGAGUCCUGAAGAGAAUGUGAUGCAUUGAAUAGUGUAGUUAUAUAAAGAUGGUUUAUUACUUAAAGGGAUACUCCACCCCAAAGUGAAAAUUUUAUCAUUAAUCACUUACCGCCAUGUCAUUCCAACCCUGUAAAAGAUUUGUUCGUCUUCAGAACACAAUUUAAGAUAUUUUGGAUGAAAAC